AUUGGAGAUGUCAGUAUGUAGUUAAUAAGCAAAGAACCCUUGUGAGGUGUUUUGUAUUGUCUACAAAGAAGACACGCAAGGCCUAUUACCACAAGGAUUCAGAACAAAUGGCUGGUUUACGGAGAUCGAGCUACUAAUUCCUUUUCAAGAAAGAGCAAAUAGACCCAGGUAAUAAUCCCUUUUUGAGGUUCAAAAAUGGUUAAUCUUUUCCUUCAUUUAUUUUUUCUAACCAUGCAUCUACUUUAAUCAUGUUUUGAAGUUAAAUUUCGGAGUUUUCUCUUUUUUCUGCUUUUUCAUUGAGUUGUUCUCUGUUUUGCAUGUUUUGAAGUUAUUUUUAUUCGGAGAAAGUUAAAUCAAAAAUAAAAAUAAAAAUAGGGCAUCUUCAACUUUUGGGUACUUUAUCUGGGAUUUUCUACAUGCAUGCCAAUAAAGUUACCUCAUUUGUUUGUGUCUGUUUUUUCCCUCACCAUCAACCAAUUUUACUUUCAUCCUGCAGUAUUCUUGAACUCGGUUUCUUUUUUACCCUCAAAAUUAUUACUAUUGUUUUGUUUCUGGUGAGAUUUCAACUAAACUGAAUCGUUUCUCGCUAUGGAUAUUGCCGAAUAUUUUGAUCCAUUUAGUUGGAAUAUAAUGGUCGUGCAGUUUUUGUUUCACAGGCUUUUGAAAGUGGAAUUUGUUCUGAUAAAGGGACAAUAUUUCGACUGUAAGGUCUACUAUGACGACGGAGAGCUUUCGUUUACUAGAUUGUCUGAUUUGGUUGAUCCACUUGGAAAUCAACUAGCAGCUAAGAAGGAAAUGGACUCACUGAGACGGCCUGUGGUUUAGGCAGCACGAGUAAUAUUAUGUCAUAUGGUCAUUCAGAUGCAUGGUCUACUUUGAUAAGUGAACUACCGACAACUCAUAUUAAGAGUUAUAUCAAAGGAGUGGAGGGUACCUAUUAAUUGGGCACAUUUGGUAUAUUAUUCAUGAGGAAUGAGGAAAUCGCUGCAUGAAGACAUCAACGUAACUUGAGAGAACUUCGACAGAAAUAACUUUUUGGAUGCUUGGGUUAUCCCCUUGCAGGGAAAAAUGUUCAAAUCUUUUCAUCCUCAAUGGUUCUCCGUCACAAGUAUUUGAAGCAGAAAUAUGAUUUAGAUGGAUGAAAAUGGCUUGCAUUGAAAUUGGAAAAUAUUAUUACUUCAAUAGUUCUCCCAUUCGUCUAUAUUGUUGCAGUUCAGUAACAGAGUUACUACAUCUAGCUUGUUCAUCAGUAUUGUACCUUUUCUUGGUGAUCUUGUAAUUGCACAAAUCAGGCAUACGCCCGUGCAUGCAUCUAGUUAUACAUAUAUAGAUUGAAGUUGUUGGUAUCGUCGGGAAAAGCUUAUUGCAUGACUUGCUCCAUGGUUUGAAAUAA